AUUGAACGCUUGCGGCAGGCCUAACACAUGCAAGUCGAACGAGUGGCGGACGGGUGAGUAAUGUCUGGGAAACUGCCUGAUGGAGGGGGAUAACUACUGGAAACGUUAGCUAAUACCGCCUACCAUCCGAUUUGCCCAGAUGGGAUUAGCUAGUUGGUGGGGUAACGGCUCACCAAGGCGACGAUCCCUAGCUGGUCUGAGAGGCUGACCAGCAACACUGGAACUGAGACACGGUCCAGACUCCUACGGGAGGCAGCAGUGGGGAAGAUUGCACAAGGGGCGGAAGCCUGUGGCAGCCAUGCCGCGUGUAUGAAGAAGGCCUUCGGGUUGUAAAGUACUUUCAGCGGGGAGGCGUUACCCGCAGAAGAAGCACCGGCUAACUCCGUGCCAGCCGCCGCGGUAAUUC
rnacentral:rRNA from 1 species